rnacentral:rRNA from 1 species
UUCCGGUUGAUCCUGCCGGAGGCUACCGCUAUUGGAGUUCGAUUAAGCCAUGCGAGUCGCGAGUCUUAGGGACUCGGCGUACCGCUCAGUAACACGUGGGUAACCUGCCCUAUGCUGGGGGAUAACCUCGGGAAACUGAGAAUAAUACCCCAUAGUUCACCACGCCUGGAACGGUGGGUGGAUCAAAGCUCCGGCGGCAUAGGAUGGGCCUGCGGCGUAUCAGGUUGUAGGGGGUGUAAUGUACCCUCUAGCCCUCUACGCGUACGGGUGUUGAGAGACAUCGCCCGGAGAUGGAUUCUGAGACACGAAUCCAGACCCCACGGGGUGCAGCAGGCGCGAAAACUUGGCAAUGCGAGAAAUCGUGACCAGGGAACUCCAAGUGCAUCGGGUAAGACCGAUGCUUUUCUUGACUCUUCAAAGGUCUUGGAAUAAGGGGUGGGUAAGGACGGUGCCAGCCGCCGCGGUAAUACCGGCGCCCCAAGUGGUAGUCGCUUUUAUUGGGCCUAAAACGUCCGUAGCCGGUCUGGUACAUUCGUGGGUAAAUCAACCAGCUCAACUGGUUGAAUUCUGCGAGCACGGCCAGACUUGGGACCGGGAGAGGUGUGGGGUACUCUCAGGGUAGGGGUAAAAUCCUGUCAUCCUGAGAGGACCACCUGUUGCGAAGGCGCCACACUAGAACGGAUCCGACGGUCAGGGACGAAGCCUAGGGGCACGAACCGGAUUAGAUACCCGGGUAGUCCUAGGUGUAAACGCUGUGGACUUGGUGUUGGGGAUUCUCCGAGGAUUCUCAGUGCCGAAGCGAAGGUGAUAAGUCCACUGCCUGGGGAGUACGGUCGCAAGGCUGAAACUUAAAGGAAUUGGCGGGGGAGCACUGCAACGAGAGGAGCGUGCGGUUUAAUUGGAUUCAACGCCGG